GUCGGGAUAGCUCAGUUGGAGAGCAGAGGACUGAAA
rnacentral:tRNA from 1 species